CAACCUGGGGAAGCCUUUGAAAUUAGAAACAUUGCAAACAUGGUUCCACUUUUUGACAAGACACAACACUCGGGUACUGGUGCGGCUAUGGAAUAUCCAAUUACAAAACUCAACGUGGAGAACAUUCUGGUGAUUGGUCACAGCCGUUGUGGUGGAA